UUGUGGGGUGAACAGCCAGGCUUGCUUGAGGACUCCUGGUUUUAACUCUGCUGGCGUGGUAUCCGUGCUUUAGCUCUGCACUGAGAGAAAGACCCUUUUGAGUGUACCCAGAAAGUCAAUACAUUG
rnacentral:snoRNA from 1 species